ensembl:lncRNA
UUGUGCUGGCAAGAGGCUGCAAGGAAACACUGCCAGGCCAAGCAGGCAGCAGAGUGGGGACCACAGGACGGUAGGCCUCGCAGAGCCUAGGUGGUGGUUGGGCCAUCAUUGUGGAGAGGGCCACAAUGUCAUCUGUGUCAUCAUUCAGAUGCUUCUGUUCCCCUACUCCAAGCUGAUGGCUGCCCCACGUUUGGUCACUUUCACAUUGCCCACAUCCUGGCAGUACCACACUGUAUCCCCCACCCUCUUCGCUCACACAUACACUUGUGCUUACACACCCGCCCAUGCCUGGCUGUAGCAGUGUCCCCUGAGUAUGCCUGCCACCUUGCUCAUGAGUGGGCAGGGCCUCUGGGGCCAGUUCAGAGUAACUUGGUUCUGGAUGCCAGAGAAGGAAAUGGAGUAGAGGCCAAGAUCCCAGGCAGGCGCCAUCCCGUAGUCUGAUGUCUGUCCUGUGAAACUGCAACGGCCUCCCGUGAGGCCAGGAUUUAGGCCCUUAAGGCCGUUCCAGGGUCAGGGAGAAAACAUCUCAUGGGCAAAAAUGGGGGUGACCAAAGAGUGCCAAGAGAAAGAGGAGGAAACCACAUAGCUGGAUGGAGGGUGAGAUGAGACCUUGGUGGAAAAAGAUGGCAAGAGAAGAAGGGGCACCGAUGGGGGCCCAUGCCCCCAGCGAUGACCACACAGCAGAUAUUCUGCAUCUCUGUGGCUGUGGUGGGUGAAUUGACUCAGCUCCCAAAGGCCUCAAGCUGAGGCCAGGCCAGAGCAACCUGCAUGUCUGACCAGCCCAUCACCUCAGGGCUGCCUUCUGCUUCUUCCACCAUCCCAACCCACUUCCUCAUCUGACUCUGUGGCUCCCUUGCACAGGCCUGAGACGUGGUAAGAGAGGAACCGUGUAUACCCAUUGGUUGGCUAAGGACAGUGAAGGCAGAACAGGACAGAUCUCACAGUCAGAUACCAGCGUGAGGAGCCAAGGAAAGGUGAGGCUGGAGCAGCCUGCCUCACAAACUGGGAGGAGCCUGGCAGGCGGCUGCAAGGGACACUCUUGGGCCCAUUUCCCAGCCAAGGUUUGGCAGGGGUUGUGGCCAGUGUGACCAAGGUAGGGAUGCUGGCCCUUUUGGAAUUGGUCUUGGUUGCAAUAGUCAAGCCAAAGAAGGGGCUGGAGGUUGGGUGAGAAAGGAGGGAAUAGGGGGCUCAGUCUUCCUGAAGACCUUAGCUGUUCCCAUUUCUUCUCUGGCCUACAGCCCAUCUACUGGGGGAACCCCAGGACAAGCCAGUUCUGGGAGGCUACUGGGACUUGGGUCACAUGAGACAUGGCAGGAAGGCACUGUCCGAAGAGCUGUCUGGUGGGCUCAUGUGGGGCUGGCUCAGAGCUGAGGACUGAAAGCUGAGUAACGCUAGAGCAAAAGGAGGGAGAAGGCAAUGGCACCCCACUCCAGUACUGUUGCCUGGAAAAUCCCAUGGAUGGAGGAGCCUGGUGGGCUGCAGUCCAUGGGGUCGCACAGAGUCGAACACGACUGAAGCGACUUGGCAGGCAGCAGAGCAAAAGGAGAGGAAGGGUACUCCCCUGCACAUGCCCCAAGGGAGGAUACAGUUAAACAUCUGCAGGGAACUAGAGGUGAUUUGAUGUAGCAGAAUCCAGAUUCUUGUCCUGUAGGAGUAGCCGGAUGGAGAUAGGCAGAAUUGUUCUGUUCCCUUGGCCUUGAAAAGGUCCGUGCCACAGGAUCUUCCUCUCAGGGUUGGUCAAGGCAGGCUUUCUGGAGAGUCCAAGGUGGGACAAGUUAUUGGGGAGGGGGAUCCCAGGCCAGAAUCACAUGCCACGGGGGCAAGUCAGGAGUUUGUGGAGAUCAGGGCAGGGAUGGAUGAUCCUCAGACACUCAGGACUGGGUGCUGGCAAGGUCAGCAAAGCCACACCCCUGCUUUUAGAGGCCAGCUCUGUGUUUUCUGCUUUUUUUUUCCCCCACAACUUCCCUAAGCCUCUAGCCCUGAACUUCUCUCCCACGUUGGAGGAGGAACAGACCCAAAACGUGCUGGGGCAGCACUUGCGUGUGUCUGCACACAACAGGGUUUAGCCUCCCU